AGAUUGAACGCUGGCGGCAGGCCUAACACAUGCAAGUCGAGCGGUAGAGAGGUGCUUGCACCUCUUGAGAGCGGCGGACGGGUGAGUAAUGCCUAGGAAUCUGCCUAGUGGUGGGGGAUAACGUUCGGAAACGGACGCUAAUACCGCAUACGUCCUACGGGAGAAAGCGGGGGACCUUCGGGCCUCGCGCCAUUAGAUGAGCCUAGGUCGGAUUAGCUAGUUGGUGAGGUAAUGGCUCACCAAGGCGACGAUCCGUAACUGGUCUGAGAGGAUGGAUCAGUCACACUGGAACUUGAGACACGGGUCCAGACU
rnacentral:rRNA from 1 species